CUCUCUGUUGCUCAGGUGGUUAAAGCGCUGCACAGGAAUUGCAGGGCAGCAGGUUUGAUUCCUGCCAGAGUGC